UACAGGGGGUGCAAACGUUGCUCGGAAUCAUUGGGCGUAAAGCGCGCGUAGGCGGUGAUCUUUGUCAGGGGUGAAAUCCCGGGGCUCAACUCCGGAAUUGCCUUUGAAACGGGAUCGCUAGAGUCCGAGAGAGGAUGGCGGAAUUCCUAGUGUAGAGGUGAAAUUCGUAGAUAUUAGGAAGAACACCGGUGGCGAAGGCGGCCAUCUGGCUCGGUACUGACGCUCAGGCGCGAAAGCGUGGGGAGCAAACAGG
rnacentral:rRNA from 1 species